AACGAACGCUGGCGGCAUGCCUAACACAUGCAAGUCGAACGAGACCUUCGGGUCUAGUGGCGCACGGGUGCGUAACGCGUGGGAACCUGCCCUUAGGUUCGGAAUAACUCCCCGAAAGGGGUGCUAAUACCGGAUAAUGUCUUCGGACCAAAGAUUUAUCGCCUUUGGAUGGGCCCGCGUUGGAUUAGCUAGUUGGUAGGGUAAAAGCCUACCAAGGCGACGAUCCAUAGCUGGUCUGAGAGGGUGAUCAGCCACACUGGGACUGAGACACGGCCCAGACUCCUACGGGAGCCAGCAGUGGGGAAUAUUGGACAAUGGGCGAAAGCCUGAUCCAGCAAUGCCGCGUGAGUGAUGAAGGCCUUAGGGUUGUAAAGCUCUUUUACCCGGGAUGAUAAUGACAGUACCGGGAGAAUAAGCUCCGGCUAACUCCGUG
rnacentral:rRNA from 1 species